AUUGAACGCUGGCGGCAGGCUUAACACAUGCAAGUCGAACGAGCGGCGGACGGGUGAGUAAUGUAUGGGGACUGCCUGAUAGAGGGGGAUAACUACUGGAAACGGUGGCUAAUACCGCAUACUAUCGGAUAACCCAUAUGGGAUUAGGUAGUUGGUGGGGUAAAGGCUCACCUAGGCGACGAUCUCUAGCUGGUCUGAGAGGAUGACCAGCCACACUGGGACUGAGACACGGCCCAGACUCCUACGGAGGCAGCAGUGGGGAAUAUUGCACAAUGGGCGCAAGCCUGAUGCAGCCAUGCCGCGUGUAUGAAGAAGGCCUUAGGGUUGUAAAGUACUUUCAGUGGGGAGGCGUUACCUGCAGAAGAAGCACCGGCUAACUCCGUGCCAGCAGCCGCGGUAAUUC
rnacentral:rRNA from 1 species